CCAAGUGGUUCAUCAAGAAGGCCAGCGACUACGCCAAGGAGCGUACGGUGUUCGGCCGUCCCAUUGGCCAGAAUCAGGGCAUCCAGUUUCCGAUCGCGAAAUCCUACGCCAACAUGCGCGCCGCCGAACUGAUGGUGAAGGAAGCUACCCGGCUUUAUGAAGCCGGCAAGGACUGCGGCGCGGAGGCCAACAUGGCCAAGAUGCUCGCUGCCGAUGCGUCGUUCGAGGCGGCAAAUGCCUGCAUCCAGACCCACGGCGGCUUCG
rnacentral:misc_RNA from 1 species